CACGUAGGGUGCGAGCGUUGUCCGGAAUUAUUGGGCGUAAAGAGCUCGUAGGCGGUCUGUCGCGUCGGCUGUGAAAACCCGGAGCUCAACUCCGGGCCUGCAGUCGAUACGGGCAGACUGGAGUUCGGCAGGGGAGACUGGAAUUCCUGGUGUAGCGGUGAAAUGCGCAGAUAUCAGGAGGAACACCGGUGGCGAAGGCGGGUCUCUGGGCCGAUACUGACGCUGAGGAGCGAAAGCGGGGGGAGCGAACAGG
rnacentral:rRNA from 1 species